rnacentral:rRNA from 1 species
AGUGAACGCUGGCGGUAGGCCUAACACAUGCAAGUCGAACGGCAGCACAGUAAGAUCUUGCUCUUACGGGUGGCGAGUGGCGGACGGGUGAGGAAUACAUCGGAAUCUACUUUUUCGGGGGGGAUAACGUAGGGAAACUGACGCUACUACCGCAUACGACCUACGGGUGAAAGCAGUGGAUCUUCGGACCUUGCGCGAUUGAAUGAGCCGAUGUCGGAUUAGCUAGUUGGCGGGGUAAAGGCCCACCAAGGCGACGAUCCGUAGCUGGCCUGAGAGGAUGAUCAGCCACACUGGAACUGAGACACGGUCCAGACUCCUACGGGAGGCAGCAGUGGGGAAUAUUGGACAAUGGGCGAAAGCCUGAUCCAGCCAUGCCGCGUGGGUGAAGAAGGCCUUCGGGUUGUAAAGCCCUUUUGUUGGGAAAGAAAAGCAGCAGGUUAAUACCCCGCUGUUCUGACGGUACCCAAAGAAUAAGCACCGGCUAACUUCGUG